rnacentral:rRNA from 1 species
AACGAACGCUGGCGGCAUGCCUAACACAUGCAAGUCGAACGAGACCUUCGGGUCUAGUGGCGCACGGGUGCGUAACGCGUGGGAACCUGCCCUUAGGUUCGGUAUAACUCCCCGAAAGGGGUGCUAAUACCGGAUAAUGUCUUCGGACCAAAGAUUUAUCGCCUUUGGAUGGGCCCGCGUUGGAUUAGCUAGUUGGUAGGGUAAAAGCCUACCAAGGCGACGAUGCAUAGCUGGUCUGAGAGGAUGAUCAGCCACACUGGGACUGAGACACGGCCCAGACUCCUACGGGAGGCAGCAGUGGGGAAUAUUGGACAAUGGGCGAAAGCCUGAUCCAGCAAUGCCGCGUGAGUGAUGAAGGCCUUAGGGUUGUAAAGCUCUUUUACCCGGGAUGAUAAUGACAGUACCGGGAGAAUAAGCUCCGGCUAACUCCGUG